UUGCCACACAGAGAAAAACAGUUACUGGUAAGUUUUUUUUUUUAAUAUUCACUUUCCAUUAACAAUCAAUGUCUUUGAAUUCUUUAUAGUAACUAGUCAUAUAAUUUUGUCUCUCUCAUUCUAAUUUCCUUGCUGUGCUUUUGUCCCAUUUGGUAAAAUAACUUGUUAAAACUUCAACUUAGUAGUUUAAAUCUUAGGGAAGAGUAACGUAAAUAGAAAUCUCAAACUGUUCUUGGCUUGUUGCAUUUGACAAUGAGAAAUACAUGACUAUAAAUCAGCACUGUUGGGAUUUAACAGCGUGGUGGACAUUAGUGUCUGGAGGUUCUGCCCUGGAUGCGGUGGAGAAGGGCUGUGCUAUGUGUGAAAAGGAGCAAUGUGGUGGUACUGUAGGCUUUGGAGGAAGUCCUGAUGAAGUUGGGGAAACCACCCUGGAUGCCAUGAUCAUGGAUGGGUAAGGAUGCUCUUCAGGACUUCCAUUUGUGUUUUCCUGUCAGGUUAGCUCAUGAUCGGAGCAGGAAGGAAGGAUGCAUGAAUGUGAGCAUGGCUCAGAACCCCUGACUUAGGGGACUUCUCCCUUCCAACACAAAGAGUUAACAGGAAAAGCAAAUAAGGCUGAAAGGUCAUCCAGAUACUCAGGAUGACAGAAAAGUCAGUGCUUACAUAGCUUUGGCUGACGAGAACCCUGAGAUAACAGAAC
rnacentral:lncRNA from 1 species